rnacentral:rRNA from 1 species
CCCGCUGAACUUAAGCAUAUCUAUAAGCGGAGGACAAGAAACCAACAGGGCAUUGCCUUAGUAACGGCGAGUGAAGCGGCAAUAGCUCAAAUUUGAAAUCUGGCGUCUUUGGGCGUCCGAGUUGUAAUUUGUAGAGGAUGUUUCGGUAUUAGCUCUUAUCUAAGUUCCUUGCAACAGGACGUCCCAGAGGGUGAGAAUCCCGUAUGCGAUUAGUUGCUUUUGCCAUGUGAAACUCCUUCUACGAGUCGAGUUGUUUGGGAAUGCAGCUCUAAUUGGGAGGUAAAUUUCUUCUAAAGCUAAAUAUUGGCCAGAGACCGCUAGCGCACAAGUAGAGUGAUCGAAAGAUGAAAAGCACUUUGUAGAGAGAGUUAAAAAGUACUCGAAAUUGUUGAAAGGGAAGCGCUUACAAUCAGACCUGCUUGCAGUUGUUAAUCUAGGCCUUGUGUCUAGUGUAUUCUUCUGUAAUCAGGCCAGUAUCGGUUUAAGCAGUCGGAUAAAGAUUUUAGGAAUGUAGCUCUCUUCGAGGGACGUGUUAUAGCCUAAUUUGCAAUGCAACCUGCCUAGAUCGAGGACCGCGCUUCGGCUAGGAGACUGGCGUAAUGGUUGUCAGCGUCCCGUCUUGAAACACGG